UGGGGAAUAUUGGACAAUGGGGGGAACCCUGAUCCAGCGACGCCGCGUGAGUGAAGAAGUAUUUCGGUAUGUAAAGCUCUAUCAGCAGGGAAGAAAAUGACGGUACCUGACUAAGAAGCCCCGGCUAACUACGUGCCAGCAGCCGCGGUAAUACGUAGGGGGCAAGCGUUAUCCGGAUUUACUGGGUGUAAAGGGAGCGCAGACGGUUUUGCAAGUCUGAAGUAAAAGCCCGAGGCUUAACCUCGGAGUUGCUUUGGAAACUGUAUAACUAGAGUAUCGGAGAGGUAAGUGGAAUUCCUAGUGUAGCGGUGAAAUGCGUAGAUAUUAGGAGGAACACCGGUGGCGAAGGCGGCUUACUGGACGAAAACUGACGUUGAGGCUCGAAGGCGUGGGGAGCAAACAGG
rnacentral:rRNA from 1 species